ensembl:ncRNA T15B7.18 ncRNA
UUACAUAAUACUUCCGAGGUCAUCUCUCCGAGACAAUCCUCUACUAUGUCCUAUAUACUUAGCUCCUCCUAGGUGCUAAAUAUCGUUGGAGAAGGCAGAAGUGAAAAAGUAAAGUUUCACUGCUUACUAAACAACUCAAUUAGUUCAGAUGAACAGUUUCUCAAAUUAGAUUUCUCUGUCUCUCCGCAUAUUCUCGUUCACAU